rnacentral:sRNA from 1 species
GCUGGUGGUGGUGGUGCAUACCUGUAAUUCUAGCAACUCAGGAGGCUGAAGCAGGAGGAUGGCAAGUUCCAGGCCAUCUGGGGCAUCUUAGCCAGAUUCUGUAUCAA